rnacentral:sRNA from 1 species
GGUAUACUGUUUUACCCCUGUCUGUCUGUCCGUGUGAGUGAUCAUUCUGUCUGUAACAAAUUUUCUGUCACAUUUUUCUCAGCAACUAUUAAUCACAGACUUUUCACACAUUGUUUAGCAAGGUCUGCCGUAUUGGUUUUAAUUUCUUGUCAAAUUAUGACUGUUAGUUUUUAGACUUAAAUUUUCGACAAAAUUUUCAUUCUAGAAGUCUGAAAUUGUUACAUUCUUUAUCUAGGCAUGCCUUAUAGUGGAAUUUAUUUUCAAACAAAUCCGACUCCAAUUGACUUUGAAUUUUUGUGUAUUUACACCAAAGCGGGGGCACUGCUAGUAAGCAUUGGCUCACAGAUCACUUGUUUUUAGACAUUUUUUGAUAUAUUCAUGAAUUAACAGUUUGUAAAAGCAUGUCCCCUAAACCUCAUAAGAAAUUUGAGAAGGACACAAUGUUCAGAUGAAGUAAAAAAAAAUGUGCAAAUCAUUUUUUGUGUUAAUUAUGUAAUGCUGUGCAAUGUUGGAUAUGUCAAUUAAACAACUUUUGUUAUUUCUUUU